GUACACGCUGUGACUAGCAUAUCAAUAAGCGGAGGAAAAAGAAACUAACAAGGAUUCCCCUAGUAACGGCGAGUGAAGCGGGAAGAGCUCAAAUUUGAAAUCUUAAAGGGUUUCCCUUUACGAAUUGUAGUUUAAAGAAGUGUUUUCUGUUGAGGUUUUGGUAAAAGUUCUUUGGAAUAGGACAUCAUAGAGGGUGAGAAUCCCGUAUUUGACCUUUACUUUCAACUUUGUGAUACACUUUCAAAGAGUCGGAUUGUUUGGGAAUGCAGUCCAAAAUGGGUGGUAAAUUUCAUCCAAAGCUAAAUAUUGGCGAGAGACCGAUAGCGAACAAGUACCGUGAGGGAAAGAUGAAAAGAACUUUGAAAAGAGAGUUAAACAGUACGUGAAAUUGUCAAAAGGGAAGCGUUUGACACCAGUGUUGUUUUUUCUGAAAAUCAAUUAAAGAACUGUUUAUGCUAAGUUGUUUAGACUUUAUCAGCUAUCUGUUUAGUUUUGAGCUUUUCUUUAAUGCACUUUUCAGUUAACAAGUCAACAUCGAAUUUCUUUUGCUGUAAAAAAGCUUGAGGAAGGUGGCUUGAGAUUCGUCUUAAGUGUUUAUAGCCUCUUGCCUAUGCAGUCGGAGAGAUUGAGGUCUGCAGCGUAGAUCCUUCGGGGCUAAAUGCAUUUGUGCUAAGUUAUAGCAUUUUAUAGACAACUUGUUGACUAUGAUUUGUCUUGUAGCUUACUCGCUUAUGUUAUUUUACCUACGCUUAGGAUGUUGAGUCGUAGAGCACGCAG
rnacentral:rRNA from 1 species